GGCCAGACUCCUACGGGAGGCAGCAGUGGGGGAUAUUGCACAAUGGGGGGAACCCUGAUGCAGCGACGCCGCGUGGGUGAAGGAGUGCUUCGGCAUGUAAAGCCCUAUCGGCAGGGAAGAAGCAAGACGGUACCUGACUAAGAAGCCCCGGCUAACUACGUGCCAGCAGCCGCGGGAAUACGUAGGGGGGGAGCGUUAUCCGGAUUCACUGGGUGUAAAGGGAGCGUAGACGGCCAUGCAAGCCAGGGGUGAAAGCCCGGGGCCCAACCCCGGGACUGCCCUUGGAACUGCAUGGCUGGAGUGCGGGAGGGGCAGGCGGAAUUCCUGGUGUAGCGGUGAAAUGCGUAGAUAUCAGGAGGAACACCGGCGGCGAAGGCGGCUCUCUGGACUGUAACUGACACUGAGGCACGAAAGCGUGGGGAGCAAACGGGAUUAGAUACCCCGGUA
rnacentral:rRNA from 1 species